AGGAUAAACGCUGGCGGCGUGCCUAACACAUGCAAGUCGAACGCCCUACGCAAGUAGGGAGUGGCGGACGGGUGAGGAACACGUGAGCAACCUGCCCUUAGCUUCGGGAUAGCUCCGGGAAACCGGAAUUAAUACCGAAUAUGAUUUUUGCUGACAUCAGCAGAAGUGGAAAGUUUUUCGGCUAGGGAUGGACUCGCGGCCUAUCAGCUAGUUGGUGAGGUAACGGCCCACCAAGGCGACGACGGGUA
rnacentral:rRNA from 1 species